AGGCAGUGUCAUGUUAGCUGGU
rnacentral:miRNA from 1 species